ensembl:lncRNA
AUGUCUCCCAUGUUGUCUUGUUCUUACACACUCCCUUGUCUGAAUCCUACUUCUUUUAUUUUCCUUUCCUUUUCAGUGUACUUUGCAAUCUUCUCUUCUUGGUCAAAAAAAAAAAAAAAGAAAGAAAAGAAAAGAAAAGAAACUUCCACUGUUCUUAUAGGCUGUAUCCCAAGCUCUUUUUCCUUUCUACUGUAUGUCCUUAAUCUUGCUUGAACCCAUAUUUUCUAUUUUUCCUGAUGAUUCACAAAUGUCUGUCUGCAGAUGAUACUUCUGUAACCUCUGGGUAAGGAUUUCUAAUUACCUACUCAGUUCUAAGGGGAUAUAUCCAAAACAUCUCACAUUCAUUUUGUUUUAAAAUCAUUUUCAUCUAUUCCCUCUUCCUUCCUCAGAUCUGUUCUUCUUCUACCAUCUCCUACCUCGGUAUGUCUCCAUCACCCCUGAAAUCUCCUCCCCCUGACUGCCCACUAGGCCCCCACCAUAUCUGACAGCAGUGAAUUCAUCACCAAGUUCUUUGGUUUGGCCUCCAGAAUACGUUAGAAGUCUGUCUGCCCUUUUAUUCUCCAUCUCUGUUGUCCUAGUUUAGGUUGUUAUCUCCUGGAACGUUUUGAGUAGCUGCCCACCUAUUGUACUAAUCUGGCCUUCCUUCCUCUAUAGUCAUUUUUCCAUACCACACCCAAGGUGAUCUUUUCAAAUUGCAAAUCUUAUCAUACCAUUCUAUUUUUGAACACUUGUUUUUAAAAUAUAGACAGAAAUCAUUGAUGUAUCUUAAAAGACCCUAUGCAAUCUGAUCUUUUUAGCCCUUCCCCCUCUUCCUCUUAGAGCUCUCACCACCAGAGCCUUUUACAUACACAGACUUUCUUUUAUCUCAGGGCCUUUGUUCACGCACUUACUGUGGCCUAGAAGUUUUCCUUUCCUCCCUUUUUCUUGUUACUGCUUCCUCAUCCUCAGUUUAAGUUUAUUUACUAAGAAAAAACUUCUUAGCCCCUUUGACUAGAUCACUAUUUGCAUGCUACUAGCUAAUUGUGUCUUAUUCGCUGUUUUCAUAACACCUGCUGCAUUUUAUAUUUACAAUGUUAUUAAUUUCUGUAGCGAAUUUCUCCCUCCUAAACUAGAAGUUCCAGGAAGGCAGGAUUUGUUCUUGCUUUUGCUCAUCAUCGGAGCUCUCUAAUUUGAUAGAAUGUCAUUCAUUAAUAGGUGGAUAAUAUAUAUACAUUUACUAAGUAAAUUAAUAAGUGAAUGGUUUAAUAAAUUUAAGAUUGGCAAUCCUAUCUUUGUUAUAUAAUUCUUCUGAUAAGCUAUAUAUACAUAGCUUAUCUACCUUACUAGAAUAGUCUGUUUUGAAAGUGGACACUAAUCUUACCCACUCACAAUUCCUUCAACUAAGUUGGAAUAUAAUAACUAAUGUAUAGUAAGUAAGCUUCACUAACACUGAAGCUAAAAAAAUACAAGUGAAAAUAAAAUUUAAUUCAAAUCAGUGUUUUAUUUUUGGUGUUUCAAGCCAAGUUUCUCCUACUGCCUACUCAUAGGUAUCAGAAAUUCUUGGGUGUUCUUCAAACCAACAGAAUUGAAAUAGGAAUCCUUUAAUCUAUAUUUUUAAACAAUUGCCAUUGGUGUUAGCAAGAAAAGUUUAGAAACAUCAAUCUAAUGCAGUUC